rnacentral:misc_RNA from 1 species
UUUUGGCUAGUGACGGCCUUCCUUGCAUUUGAGCUGGGUUGGUGGCCAUUAGUUGUGUGGUUUCGGAGUUGUAAACCGUAAAGGUGCAUGAGUGGUGUUUGGUUUGUUACGGGUGGUCGGCUCCUUGCUUGCGCAACCAACUUCCACCUGGCAUUCCUCUUCAGUUUUGUUUCAAUGCUUGAAUUGCAUUGAAUGCACGUUGGGUUUCUUGUGUUGAAUGCCUAAUUGAUGGUAUCGCGUGACGAAUCGAUAAAUGAUUUCGUCUCUUGUCGCGCAUGCGAUGCGAGAUGAACGUUGAAGCAGCCUCAGUGAUCCACUAUCUUGAUGCCCUUGCAUUGAUUUUGUGGCUCAUUGAGUGUUCGCUUGGCCUCAUGGAUAUGGAACAUUGUGUGGGCGCGUGAUCUUUUACGAGAUCAUCGUUUGCCCAAGCAAAGCUUUUUCAAUUACGAUUUCCUACAACGUUCAGACGUGGUAGGCAAUAUCGAAUAUGAAUG